AAUACCUUUUCAGGCUGGCCAGAAGCAUUCCCCUGCAGGAUCAGUAAAGCCAAGGAAGUGACCAAGGUAUUGCUGCAGGAAGUAUUUCCAAGGUUUGGGGGUCCUGCAACAACAUCCUCCAGCUGGGGAACUCGCUUUAUUGCAAAGUUGGUCUCAUAGACCUCUUUCAGAUCUGCCUUUGGAGCCGAAGUGGGAAGGACAGUUGCAAGCACUUCUAACCACCUACACGGCAAUCGGAAUCAAGAAGGUGCCUUUGUGGAUUCAUCACUCCUAGGCAAAGAAGGCCUCGGAUCUCAGUGGACUGCUACCCCAAGGGACCUCUGAAACUUAUGAUGAGAAAACAGAAUGCUUAAUAUUUGUCUAAUCUGCAUAAUUUUUACUCUUGCUUUAGCUUGGCCAGAAAAUACCUACAUAAAGCUAACUGAAAAGCUUACUCAAGCUUUGAAUGUUUCAGAUUGUUGGGUAUGUACAGCCCUUCCCAGAGGCCAAGGAGGGGGUGCCAGUUUAUGGAGCAGUUGCAGUAAACUGGAUAAUAGCAGAUUGUGUAACAAAUCAGAUGGAAAAUGAUGGAGAAAAUUGUAAAUAUGGGGAGGAAAUCCCUGAUUUGACUUAUCAGUUGUUAAUAACUCUGUGGGGUUUAUAGCCCUAAAAUGAGAUGGAAAGUCCUGUUCCUUGUCCUGGACUCUGGAAAAACACAGCUGGUAGCUGGAAGGGAGUUUGUUGUCAUGAUACUAGGAUGGAGGAAGAACAGCUUGUCCUGCUUUGAAAUAUAGGUUGUGAUAAUGUGGAAGGUUGUGAUAAUGUGGAAGAGAGACAUGCCAGCAAGAUGUGGGGUGCUGUUAAAUCUUUGUAAAUAACGCCAGGUGGCUUUUAUAUAAUGGAUUUUUACUAACAAAUAAGCUAAUUGUAUAACCAUUUGUCAGCAAUUAAUGGAACAGUGUAAAAGAAGAAAACAGAAUACAAUAAAGUGGACAUCAGUAGCAUU